AGUUGUAUCCUGGCUCAGAACGAACGCUGGCGGCAGGCCUAACACAUGCAAGUCGAGCGAGACCUUCGGGUCUAGCGGCGGACGGGUUAGUAACGCGUGGGAACGUGCCCUUCUCUGCGGAAUAGCCACUGGAAACGGUGAGUAAUACCGCAUACGCCCUUCGGGGGAAAGAUUUAUCGGAGAAGGAUCGGCCCGCGUUAGAUUAGAUAGUUGGUGGGGUAAUGGCCUACCAAGUCUACGAUCUAUAGCUGGUUUUAGAGGAUGAUCAGCAACACUGGGACUGAGACACGGCCCAGACUCCUACGGGAGGCAGCAGUGGGGAAUCUUAGACAAUGGGCGCAAGCCUGAUCUAGCCAUGCCGCGUGUGUGAUGAAGGUCUUAGGAUCGUAAAGCACUUUCGCCAGGGAUGAUAAUGACAGUACCUGGUAAAGAAACCCCGGCUAACUCCGUGCCAGCAGCCGCGGUAAUACGGAGGGGGUUAGCGUUGUUCGGAAUUACUGGGCGUAAAGCGUACGUAGGCGGAUCAGAAAGUAUAGGGUGAAAUCCCAGGGCUCAACCCUGGAACUGCCUUGUAAACUCCUGGUCUUGAGUUCGAGAGAGGUGAGUGGAAUUCCAAGUGUAGAGGUGAAAUUCGUAGAUAUUUGGAGGAACACCAGUGGCGAAGGCGGCUCACUGGCUCGAUACUGACGCUNAGGUACGAAAGUGUG
rnacentral:rRNA from 1 species